GACGAACGCUGGCGGCGUGCUUAACACAUGCAAGUCGAACGGUGACGGGGAGCUUGCUCCCCUGAUCAGUGGCGAACGGGUGAGUAACACGUGGGGCAAUCUGCCCUGACUUCGGGAUAACGCUUCGAAAGAGGUGCUAAUACCGGAUAUGAACCUCGCAGGCAUCUGCGAGGGUUGGAAAGUUUCUCGGUCAGGGAUGAGCCCGCGGCCUAUCAGCUAGUUGGUGAGGUAAUGGCUCACCAAGGCGACGACGGGUAGCCGGCCUGAGAGGCGACCGGCCACACUGGGACUGAGACACGGCCCAGACUCCUACGGGAGGCAGCAGUGGGGAAUAUUGCGCAAUGGGCGAAAGCCUGACGCAGCAACGCCGCGUGAGGGAUGACGGCUCGGUG
rnacentral:rRNA from 1 species